AUACGGAGGGUGCAAGCGCUAUUCGGAAUCACUGGGCGUAAAGGACGCGUAGGCGGGUUGGCAAGUCAGAUGUGAAAUCCUACAGCUUAACUGUAGAACUGCAUUUGAAACUGCUAACCUAGAGUAUGGGAGGGGGAGAUGGAAUUAGUGGUGUAGGGGUAAAAUCCGUAGAUAUCACUAGGAAUACCGAAAGCGAAGGCGAUCUCCUGGAACAUAACUGACGCUAAGGCGUGAAAGCGUGGGGAGCAAACAGGAUUAGAAACCCUAGUAGUCC
rnacentral:rRNA from 1 species